AUACUCUGGUUUCUCUCCAGAUUGUAUAAAUCUUUCACCUUUUACUAAAGAGUUCCACAGAGAGGAACAACUCUGAGUCUUUAUUUUUUUAAUUUUUUGUAGUUGUAGAUGGAUAGCA